UACGUAGGUGGCAAGCGUUGUCCGGAAUUAUUGGGCGUAAAGCGCGCGCAGGUGGUUUCUUAAGUCUGAUGUGAAAGCCCACGGCUCAACCGUGGAGGGUCAUUGGAAACUGGGGGACUUGAGUGCAGGAGAGAAGAGUGGAAUUCCACGUGUAGCGGUGAAAUGCGUAGAGAUGUGGAGGAACACCAAUGGCGAAGGCAGCCUUCUGGGCCAACACUGACGCUCAUGCACGAAAGCGUGGGGAGCAAACAGG
rnacentral:rRNA from 1 species